rnacentral:rRNA from 1 species
AGUGAACGCUGGCGGUAGGCCUAACACAUGCAAGUCUAACGGCAGCACAGUAAGAGCUUGCUCUUACGGGUGGCGAGUGGCGGACGGGUGCGGAAUACAUCGGAAUCUACUUUUUCGUGGGGGAUAACGUAGGGAAACUUACGCUAAUACCGCAUACGACCUACGGGUGAAAGCAGGGGAUCUUCGGACCUUGCGCGAUUGAAUGAGCCGAUGUCGGAUUAGCUAGUUGGCGGGGUAAAGGCCCACCAAGGCGACGGUCCGUAGCCGGUCUGAGAGGAUGAUCAGCCCCACUGGAAGUGAGACACGGUCCAGACUCCUACGGGAGGCAGCAGUGGGGAAUAUUGGACAAUGGGCGCAAGCCUGAUCCAGCCAUACCGCGUGGGUGAAGAAGGCCUUCGGGUUGUAAAGCCCUUUUGUUGGGAAAGAAAAGCAGCAGGUUAAUACCCCGCUGUUCUGACGGUACCCAAAGAAUAAGCACCGGCUAACUUCGUG